GUAUGCUCACAUGCAUGCAAAGAAGCAUCUGGAUGUGUCACAGAAAAGGGGCUUGUUUUAAUUUAUCUCAUUUACAUCUCUUGCACAAAAGCAGGAGGAAGGAGGGGUUAUUUGAGAGGUGGUUGUUAUACCUCUGGUAGAGCAAUGGCCGCAGCUGGCCCAUCAAGGCCUAAUCCUAGUAGGCGUUGGCUUGAUGUCCCUGAUAGAGGGCAUGGGGAUUAUUUUUCCUAUAGGAGGCUACCAUUUUCUUCGGAUGAAGAUUUUGAUAGAUGUUAUAUUAAAAGAGAAGUCGACAACCCUUAUUAUUAUGAUGAACCGUGCACAUGGUGUGAGGAGGCAGUUUUAUGUAGUGGACCGUGAUCCUGAUUAUAUAGUGUCCAGUAGACUCCACCUGCGGCAGGACUAUAAUGAUCCUGCAGUUUCACUUCAUGGAAGUUGUUAUUGUGUAUUGUGCAUAUCCAUCUUGUUAUGGGAAUGAUUGCACAUGUGGAGGUGGGUAUUACUACUAGACUCAAGAAACUUGGUAAUGCUCGACCCCUUGUAAUUUGGAGUUUCUCAAAUUUGAUGGUGAAUGCUCUCAUAUUAUAAUAUUCAAAGGUUCUUGCAUAAUUUUGUCUAGGUGAGCUCGGAAAUGCUGGAUGCUGGGCUUGUUGCUUAAAAAUAUGGUUGCUGUCUCAUUUUUUUGUACCUUUUCUUUUAGCAUUCUCAUUCUGCUUUUCCUCUUUGUGUUCCAAUCCUUGUACUUCUCUUUCCAGUUCUCUUUUUAGUAAUUAUUGGCAGAACAUCUGGAGUUGUAUAUUUAGGUUACGUCUCUGAAGGAUCUGAACUAAAAUGCUUAUAUUACUUCUAUAAUGUGGAGUUCAGUAGAUGUCUUCUCUUUCUGCGCUAGGUGUAAAGUGCUUUUGGAUUUUUUAUAUAGUUGGUUGUUGUGAAGGGCAGUAUCAAUUUCCUUCUAUUUUCAUGAUCUACAUAAUGGAUCAAGCACAAAUAGUGAUCGUUAAGCUUGAAGCCUUUGAAAGGAACCAGACUGGGUGACUCUUUCUGGAACUGGACAGUUCAAGCUAAGGUUCUUCUUAUUUUGUUACAAGUGCUGAAGUUAGUUUAAAUGUUGAAUGCUGAUCGAGGCUUAACAGAGAUCUUAAAAGUUUUUGUAGAGAAAUAAAAAGGAGUAGACCUUUUGUAGGAUUUAUGAAAUCUCACUCUGCCUACUGAUCCAAAGAUUAUUAUGGAUAGAAGGGAAUGUCUUUAGUCAAAUUUUGUGGUUACUUAUGUAGAUAUAUAGUAAUUGAAGAGGAUGGCAUCCUUAUUAUAAUUUUAAUUAAAUAAGUUUGUGGCUAUAUAUAUGAAUGUUAUGCCACUGUUCACAAAUUCUUCUGCCGGAACGGUGUGAGGAAUUGUGAUAUUUUUAGGUGUGCUACCCCUAAAAGUAAGACUUACUCAAACAUUUUAUUUGAUCCUUAUUUUGGUGGAGCAGAAGGUCAAUUAUGUCAUUUGGUGCUUUAGUAAUAAAAUUUAAUUCAUAUUCUCAGAGAGAUCUUGAUGAUAUUUUCCAUGGGCAACUUGAAUCUGUUGUUUGGAUUGAAAUCAAAUAUUGAUUAUGAUUUCUUGGUUAGGAGGUCAUGUAGAGUUUGGUGAUAGCUAUUACUAGGGUUAUCUGCUUUCUUAUUCUAGUUGCCAUUAGUUUUUUUAUUUUUUAAUUUUACAUUGAUCAAAAUUCAUGUGACGACAUGUAAACAUAGCUUGAUGGUGAUAUAUAUUUCUUCUUGAAUUAGAUGAUUGAUUUUACAAGUGUGGUUGCUGGUCAUAAAGGUCUUCUUAUUGUGUUAAUAUGAAUUGGGGAUUGCAUUUGGAAAGUGAAGUCUGGUCGUUAACGGAGGAUCAAUGCUGCUAUUCUAAUUCAUUCAAUGUAGUAUUCAUUCCUGAGGUCAAGGUUUUAGCUAUAAGUCGAAUAUGUUUUGUUAUUGGAAGUGAUGCACUCUAUUUGCUUCUAUCAUUUUAUACAAAAAAUGGAUGAUAAAAUAAACCCUUUUUUUUUUUCGCAGUGAAGAAAACAUCUUGAAGCAUGAUGGAGAGUGGAACUUGCACACAUAAAGCUACUAUCUCUCUGCAGGUUUUUUGUAUUAAAUAUGGUCAUUUGAGGGUGGGCAUAAGUUUUGUUUGAGUAGAAAAGAACCUAGAGAGCUAUCUUUCUUUGUGCCAUUGCCUAAUGAUUAUAAUUGGUUGGUAUUAGAAAGUGUCUUCUCGUUUAUUUUUCACAUUGGUAUUCACAUAUCAUGUAUAUGAUAAGUUGGUAUAGCUCUCUCUUCUUUAAUUUUCUAUCAUUUUUAUUGGUUUGUUUUUGCUACA